AGGCUUUGUGACCAGGGAGAUUAGCGCUGUUUUCCCAAGACAGGUUUAUAUGUGAUUAUGAUCUUCAGGCUUUGCCUAUCCAGGUUGGCUGGCCGGUGCUGACGGGACGGAGCUGAGGCUAGCGAUAAAUUCCUAUGUUAGACUUCCGCUGUAGCAAUUACUCAUAUCAGUCUUUUGUUUUCCCAACUUAAGAUCUUCAUGUUAAAUUUCAAAUGAUAUACCUGACCGAGCUUAGACUCUUCACUACUUAAUUUAUGCAAAUGAAUGUCGGUUGUCAGAAGCAUGAAACAAAACUUGUGAUCCAAAGGGGCAUAGCCCGACUUUCUAUCCUAUUUCGGGUUUUUACAAGGUUGUUCCUUGUUUA